rnacentral:rRNA from 1 species
CCUACGGGUGGCAGCAGUGAGGAAUAUUGGUCAAUGGGCGGGAGCCUGAACCAGUCAAGUCGCGUGAAGGAAGAAGGUACUUAGUAUUGUAAACUUCUUUUGUCGGGGAACAAAGGCGGAGACGCGUCUCCGGAUGAGUGUACCCGAAGAAAAAGCAUCGGCUAACUCCGUGCCAGCAGCCGCGGUAAUACGUAGGGGGCAAGCGUUAUCCGGAUUUACUGGGUGUAAGGGGGGCGCAGACGGCAGCGCAAGCAAGGUGUGAAAGCCCGGGGCCCAACCCCGGGACUGCUCGUGGUACUGCGCGGCUGGAGUGCAGGAGGGGCAGGCGGAAUUCCUGGUGUAGCGGUGAAAUGCGUAGAGAUCAGGAGGAACACCGGUGGCGAAGGCGGCCUGCUGGACUGCGACUGACGUUGAGGCCCGAAAGCGUGGGGAGCAAACAGGAUUAGAUACCCGAGUAGUC